rnacentral:rRNA from 1 species
AUUGAACGCUGGCGGCAGGCCUAACACAUGCAAGUCGAGCGGCAGCGGAAAUGUAGCUUGCUACUUUUGCCGGCGAGCGGCGGACGGGUGAGUAAUGCCUGGGGAUCUGCCCAGUCGAGGGGGAUAACUACUGGAAACGGUAGCUAAUACCGCAUACGCCCUACGGGGGAAAGCAGGGGACCUUCGGGCCUUGCGCGAUUGGAUGAACCCAGGUGGGAUUAGCUAGUUGGUGAGGUAAUGGCUCACCAAGGCGACGAUCCCUAGCUGGUCUGAGAGGAUGAUCAGCCACACUGGAACUGAGACACGGUCCAGACUCCUACGGGAGGCAGCAGUGGGGAAUAUUGCACAAUGGGGGAAACCCUGAUGCAGCCAUGCCGCGUGUGUGAAGAAGGCCUUCGGGUUGUAAAGCACCUUCAGCGAGGAGGAAAGGUUGGUAGCUAAUAACUGCCAGCUGUGACGUUACUCGCAGAAGAAGCACCGGCUAACUCCGUGCCAGCCGCCGCCGUAA